rnacentral:ncRNA from 2 species
UGAAAGAAACAGGGCUGCAAAAUAUUGCUGAGAAAUACCCUCAUUAACUGAUCUAAUUAGUAUUAGCGUAGUGAGUUUCUCUUGUUUUCUU